rnacentral:rRNA from 1 species
GUCUAUAGUCAUACCAACCUGAACGCGCCUGAUCUCUUCUGAUCUCAGAAGCUAAGCAGGGUUGGGCCUGGUUAGUACUUGGAUAGGAGAAUUGUAUUUUGUAUGUUGUGGCUU